rnacentral:rRNA from 1 species
GAAAGACCCCGUGAACCUUUACUAUAGCUUGACACUGAACAUUGAGCCUUGAUGUGUAGGAUAGGUGGGAGGCUUUGAAGCGUGGACGCCAGUCUGCGUGGAGCCAACCUUGAAAUACCACCCUUUAAUGUUUGAUGUUCUAACGUUGGCCCCUUACCGGGGUUGCGGACAGUGUCUGGUGGGUAGUUUGACUGGGGCGGUCUCCUCCCAAAGCGUAACGGAGGAGCACGAAGGUUAGCUAAUCCUGGUCGGACAUCAGGAGGUUAGUGCAAUGGCAUAAGCUAGCUUGACUGCGAGCGUGACGGCGCG